ensembl:lncRNA
GGUAAUAUGAGAAGGAGCUCUGACAUUCCAUCUCUGACAUAGAGCCUGUAUUCACCUCCCACUGGAAUGGAAUUAGUGAACAUGAAAUUUCAAGAGCUGACAUGAGAAAAAAUACACGUGAGAAAUGCAGGAAAUUAGUGAGAAAAGAAGAUGGCAAAACAAGGAUCGUGGUUCUACAACUAAUGCACUUCUGGAGACCAAGAACCUCUUUUCUGCAGUGGAAGUCUCUACAACUUACAUGCAACAAAGCACAUAAAAACUAGCAGCCUUUCUCAACAGUAGUUUGCAAACAGAAGAAGAUACUAAACCAUGAAUAUGUUAUCAGAUGUCUGUAUCAUAUAGAUUGUGUAUUGUGUGGUCGUACUGUGGUCUGAUGAAUGGUUGAAGCCUGUGAGACAAUCUGGAAUUUGCUGUCAUAGACAGUACUGAAGACCAUGCUGUACCAUCAGCAUUAUUUGCAGUGCCCAGGUUGGAAAGCUGUGCACCUCUGUGCAUCCUCGGCAAUCAGUGUUGAUGGGCACGAAUAACUUUUUGUUAUGUGCAUCUCAGUGCAAGAGGUAAACUUAACAAUGACUCCUUUGCAGCCAGAAAAUGUAUUUAGAGAGCAGACUGCAAGGAAAUACAUAUCUCCAUGUCUACACAGCACAAUAAUUAACAAAGUAGUGUUUAAUUAUAGUAUAAGGUAAAUGAACCGAUAGUUUAGAAGAGGAGAAACUGUCACUAUGAUUAUCAUAAUGACCUUGAAAGAUUUGGAAAUAUAUGAUUUUUUUUGAACUUAUUACAGCAGUUGUAUGAUCAAUGGAAGAAUCAGAAUGGGGAUUUCCAGGGCAGCCUCAAUGAAUUUGCUGCAUGGUAUCAAAAAUCUUGUGUAUGUUUACACAACAAUGAAGAAUCUACACACAAUUAUUUCUCCUUGACAAAAUUAUGUAACAAUUUUUAUACCUGAAUAAUAUAACAUGUAUUUAAAAUUUGUUAUUACCUACAAAGCUCAAACAUGAAUUAUCAUGGAAAUGUAAAUUACACUGUUUAUCACUUUAUCUAGACGUACAUCCACUUUAACAAUUAUUUACUUAAUCAGCUUGUUAAUCAUUAUUAUAAUCUGUUGCUUUCUACUGACUGAGAUCAUUUAUAAAUGGAUUUUCCCCUUGUUUUGCUAUUAAUGUAUCUUUUUCCUUUAAAAUGUAAAAUUAAAUAUGAAUGGUAGAAACAUGUAUAAGUAUUAUUUUGAAAAUAAAACUUAAACUAU